AGAGUUUGAUCCUGGCUCAGGAUGAACGCUGGCGGCGUGCCUAACACAUGCAAGUCGAGCGAUCUUCUUCGGAAGAGAGCGGCGGACGGGUGAGUAACGCGUGGGUAACCUGCCUCAUACACAUGGAUAACAUACCGAAAGGUAUGCUAAUACAAGAUGAUAUAAGAGAUUCGCAUGGAUUUCUUAUCAAAGCUCCGGCGGUAUGAGAUGGACCCGCGUCUGAUUAGCUAGUUGGUAAGGUAACGGCUUACCAAGGCGACGAUCAGUAGCCGACCUGAGAGGGUGAUCGGCCACAUUGGAACUGAGACACGGUCCAAACUCCUACGGGAGGCAGCAGUGGGGAAUAUUGCACAAUGGGCGAAAGCCUGAUGCAGCAACGCCGCGUGAGCGAUGAAGGCCUUCGGGUCGUAAAGCUCUGUCCUCAAGGAAGAUAAUGACGGUACUUGAGGAGGAAGCCCCGGCUAACUACGUGCCAGCAGCCGCGGUAAUACGUAGGGGGCUAGCGUUAUCCGGAUUUACUGGGCGUAAAGGGUGCGUAGGUGGUUUCUUAAGUCAGGAGUGAAAGGCUACGGCUCAACCGUAGUAAGCUCUUGAAACUGGGAAACUUGAGUGCAGGAGAGGAAAGUGGAAUUCCUAGUGUAGUGGUGAAAUGCGUAGAUAUUAGGAGGAACACCAGUAGCGAAGGCGGCUUUCUGGACUGUAACUGACACUGAGGCACGAAAGCGUGGGGAGCAAACAGGAUUAGAUACCCUGGUAGUCCACGCCGUAAACGAUGAGUACUAGGUGUCGGGGGUUACCCCCCUCGGUGCCGCAGCUAACGCAUUAAGUACUCCGCCUGGGGAGUACGCUCGCAAGAGUGAAACUCAAAGGAAUUGACGG
rnacentral:rRNA from 1 species